GGGGGUGGAGGAGACGGCCGGGGCGGUGCCCCUUUUAUAGGCCGGAGGGGUGGCGUGCAAGCCGGCGGCAGGGGUGGGGGUCCGGCCGGCGGACGGCGUACGGCGGGGUAGGGGCCGGGCACCCGAGUCGAUGGCGUGGGCGGCGGAAGGUGGCGUCGCGGUGGCCGGCACGGCAAGGAGCGGGUCCGGCGGCGUGCGGGAGGUAGGGGACCGGGGAGAUGGCGCGUCGGCCUGGGCGGGCGGCGGGCCAGACCGGCCGGGAAACCGGCGCCGGCGGCGGCACGUGGCCCGGUGCGGGCCCCAAGGCGGCCGGGCGGCGUGGCGCCAGUGAGCGCACGCGCCGGUGGGAGUAAUGGCGCCGGGCCAGGCGGAGGAGUGGCGCCAGUGGGUGGGGCGCCGGGUGCCAGGAGAAGAAAGGAGAGAGAAGGAGGGAGGAAGAAGAAGAAAGAAGGGAAAGAAAGAAGAAGGAAAAAGAAAAGGAAAAAGGGGAGGGAAAAGAAGAAAGAAAAAGGAAGAGACCGGCGGCACUCGCGGCACGCGGUCGGAGCACGCGCACGGCGUCUGACACCGGCACGCGGCGAGAUUCGCG
rnacentral:lncRNA from 1 species